UACGUAGGGGGCUAGCGUUGUCCGGAAUCAUUGGGCGUAAAGCGCGUGUAGGCGGUUCGGUAAGUCCGCUGUGAAAGUCGGGGGCUCAACCCUCGGAAGCCGGUGGAUACUGUCGGGCUAGAGUACGGAAGAGGCGAGUGGAAUUCCUGGUGUAGCGGUGAAAUGCGCAGAUAUCAGGAGGAACACCAAUUGCGAAGGCAGCUCGCUGGGACGUUACUGACGCUGAGACGCGAAAGCGUGGGGAUCAAACAGG
rnacentral:rRNA from 1 species